AUUGAACGCUGGCGGCAGGCCUAACACAUGCAAGUCGAAUGGUAACAGGAAACAGCUUGCUGUUUCGCUGACGAGUGGCGGACGGGUGAGUAAUGUCUGGGAAACUGCCUGAUGGAGGGGGAUAACUACUGGAAACGGUAGCUAAUACCGCAUAACGUCGCAAGACCAAAGAGGGGGACCUUCGGGCCUCUUGCCAUCAGAUGUGCCCAGAUGGGAUUAGCUAGUAGGUGGGGUAACGGCUCACCUAGGCGACGAUCCCUAGCUGGUCUGAGAGGAUGACCAGCCACACUGGAACUGAGACACGGUCCAGACUCCUACGGGAGGCAGCAGUGGGGAAUAUUGCACAAUGGGCGCAAGCCUGAUGCAGCCAUGCCGCGUGUAUGAAGAAGGCCUUCGGGUUGUAAAGUACUUUCAGCGGGGAGGAAGGGAGUAAAGUUAAUACCUUUGCUCAUUGACGUUACCCGCAGAAGAAGCACCGGCUAGCUCCGUG
rnacentral:rRNA from 1 species